rnacentral:rRNA from 1 species
UACGUAGGGUGCAAGCGUUGUCCGGAAUUAUUGGGCGUAAAGAGCUCGUAGGCGGUCUGUCGAGUCUGCUGUGAAAACUCAGGGCUUAACCCUGAGCUUGCAGUGGGUACGGGCAGACUAGAGUGCGGUAGGGGAGACUGGAAUUCCUGAUGUAGCGGUGAAAUGCGCAGAUAUCAGGAGGAACACCGGUGGCGAAGGCGGGUCUCUGGGCCGUAACUGACGCUGAGGAGCGAAAGCAUGGGGAGCGAACAGG